UCUUGUGUACAAUUUGGAAAUUAGUAUGGCGUUCAUUACCACUGAACUAGUAUAUAUUUGUUUAGGGGCCAGCUGAAGGACGCCUCCGGGUGCGGAAUUUCUCGCUAAUUGAAGACCUGUUGUGACCUUUUGUUGUUGUUUUUUUCUAUGGUCGGGUUGUUGUCUCUUUGGCACAUUCCCCAUUUCCAUUCUCAAUUUUAU
rnacentral:lncRNA from 1 species